rnacentral:rRNA from 1 species
CCAAUAGCGUAUAUUAAAGUUGUUGCAGUUAAAAAGCUCGUAGUUGAAUUUCAGGCCUGGCUGGACGGUCCGCCCUUCGGGUGAGUACUGUCUGUGGUCGGGUCCUACCUUCUGGCGAAGCGUCAUGGCCUUAACCGGCCGUGGCGGGGAACCAGGACUUUUACUGUGAAAAAAUUAGAGUGUUCAAAGCAGGCAAUCGCUUGGAUACAUUAGCAUGGAAUAAUGGAAUAGGACAAUGGUUCUAUUUGUUGGUUUCUAGGACCGUUGUAAUGAUUAAUAGGGAUAGUUGGGGGCAUUAUUAUUCAAUUGUCAGAGGUGAAAUUCUUGGAUUUAUUUAAGACUAACUACUGCGAAAGCAUUUGCCAAGGAUGCUUUCAUUAAUCAAGAACGAAAGUUAGGGGAUCGAAGACGAUCAGAUACCGUCGUAGUCUUAACCAUAAACUAUGCCGACUAGGAAUCGGGCGAUGUUGACAAAAUGACGCGCUCGGCACCUCAUG